rnacentral:rRNA from 1 species
CCUACGGGUGGCAGCAGUGAGGAAUAUUGGUCAAUGGUCGGGAGACUGAACCAGCCAAGCCGCGUGAGGGAGGAAGGUACAGAGUAUCGUAAACCUCUUUUGUCAGGGAACAAAGACUGGGACGCGUCCCCGGAUGAGUGUACCUGAAGAAAAAGCAUCGGCUAACUCCGUGCCAGGAGCCGCGGUAAUACGGAGGAUGCGAGCGUUAUCCGGAAUGACUGGGCGUAAAGGGUGCGUAGGUGGUUUGGCAAGGUAGUAGAGAAACCCCAAGGCUCAACCUUGGAACUACUACUAAAACUGUUGGACUUGAGUGCAGGAGGGGCAACCGGAAUUCCUAGUGUAGCGGGGGAAUGCGUAGAUAUUAGGAGGAACACCAGUGGCGAAGGCGAGUUGCUAGACUGUAACUGACACUGAGGCACGAAAGCGUGGGGAGCAAACAGGAUUAGAUACCCUUGUAGUC